UGGGCUAUCGCCAAAGGGUAAGGCAUAGGAUUUUGGUUCCUAUAUUUGUCGGUUCGAAUCCGACUAGCCCCGUUUGCAA
rnacentral:tRNA from 1 species